GAUGAACGCUAGCUACAGGCUUAACACAUGCAAGUCGAGGGGCAGCAUGGGGUUUGCUUGCAAACCUUGAUGGCGACCGGCGCACGGGUGAGUAACGCGUGGGGAACCUGCCCCAUUCCGGGGGAUACCAGUUGGAAACGACUGUUAAUACCGCAUAAGCGCACGGUAUCGCAUGAUACAGUGUGAAAAACUCCGGUGGAAUGGGAUGGCCCCGCGUCUGAUUAGGCAGUUGGCGGGGUAACGGCCCACCAAACCGACGAUCAGUAGCCGACCUGAGAGGGUGACCGGCCACAUUGGGACUGAGACACGGCCCAAACUCC
rnacentral:rRNA from 1 species